GGCCUAGCCAAGCUAUUGAAUUGCAAUAAACCUUGCACUGCUUCCAAGUUCGCUGGAAGUCACGGCUACAUUGCUCCAGGUACGAAUCUAACAUGAAACGUUUAACGUGUUAAAACCUGGUUGUGAUUGUAGAGUAUGCUUACACCCUGAAAGUCGACGAGAAGGCGGACGUGUACAGUUUUGGGAUCGUGAUGUUGGAAGUGGUGACGGGAAAAAUGGCCACAUGGAGAGAUCACAGGAACGAUCUGGACCUGGUGGAAUGGGCCAAGGGAAAAUCAGUGACGGAGCUUGCAGUAGAAGCUGACACGGAGAGCUAUGCAUUGGUGCUGGAGAUAGCUCUAAGCUGCGUAGAGAAGUGUCCGAGCCGGAGGCCUACGAUGGAAAUGGUCGUAGAAAGGCUCAGUGUCGUGAGGAGGAAAGGAAAACUUACAGGUUUAGAGAAGGAUAAGGUGGAUGGAAGCGAAGGAAGUGCUGAAAAACUUGAAGCUGGCAUCGAAGACUGUCAAGAUGGGAGAAAUGCCGGAGUACAGUCGAAAACUGUGACACUACCAUCGUAUUCCUUUCCUUAGUGCCCCUCGCCUAGUGUCAGUUCAAGAGACUCUGUAAAGACUAAAACUCAAGGAGAUGACGACUGAAGACUAGAAAAGCAAAUUUCCUUACACUGUGUGGGCCUCUUAGUAAUUUCGAUUCUGUCCAUUAUUGUGUGAGACUGCUGCUAUUGCGGCCAAAGAAGAUAUAUUCAUGCACUCACGUCCAAUAUGGUUUGACCUGUGAAGCUUUAAAUUGGACAUACGCUCUCCAGCACACUCUGCAGCAAAAAAGAAAGAGCUCGAGGCUCAUAUAGUUAGAGAGCAACAAAAACUAAAAAGGAAAAGAGAUAUGGUACCUUGUGUGAUCUAUUUCCUACUCCUGGUAGUAAUCUCCAAGGCUGAUCUCGAUCGUGAUCAUCAGGCACUAGUCGCUCUCAAAAACUCAUUUGUGGAUUCCGCAGGAGAGCUCCAGG
rnacentral:lncRNA from 1 species